CCUACCAUGCAGUCGAACGGAUUUGAGGGGCUUGCUCCUCAAGUUAGUGGCGCACGGGUGAGUAACGCGUAGAUAAUCUGCCUGAUGAUCUGGGAUAACACUUCGAAAGGGGUGCUAAUACCGGAUAAGCCCACGGGGUCUUUGGACUCUGCGGGAAAAGGGGGGGACCUUCGGGCCUUCUGUCAUCAGAUGAGUCUGCGUACCAUUAGCUAGUUGGUAGGGUAAUGGCCUACCAAGGCUACGAUGGUUAGCUGGUUUGAGAGAAUGAUCAGCCACACUGGAACUGAGACACGGUCCAGACUCCUACGGGAGGCAGCAGUGGGGAAUUUUGCGCAAUGGGCGAAAGCCUGACGCAGCAACGCCGCGUGAGUGAUGAAGGCUUUCGGGUCGUAAAGCUCUGUCGAGGGGAAAGAAGUGUAUUGUGGCUAAUAUCCACGAUACUUGACGGUACCCCUAAAGGAAGCACCGGCUAACUCCGUGCCAGCAGCCGCGGUAAUACGGGGGGUGCAAGCGUUGUUCGGAAUUAUUGGGCGUAAAGAGCGUGUAGGCGGUUUGUUAAGUCUGAUGUGAAAGCCCUGGGCUCAACCCAGGAAGUGCAUUGGAAACUGGCAGACUUGAAUACGGGAGAGGGCAGUGGAAUUCCUAGUGUAGGAGUGAAAUCCGUAGAUAUUAGGAGGAACACCGGUGGCGAAGGCGGCUGCCUGGACCGAUACUGACGCUGAGGCGCGAAAGUGUGGGGAGCAAACAGGAUUAGAUACCCUGGUAGUCCACACUGUA
rnacentral:rRNA from 1 species